GCCCCGCCGCUACCUCUGCCCCCGGGCCGGUGGCCGUCGCCGCGCGCCUGGUUUCCGGCACCUCUCCGCCGCAGCCGGACUCGGCCAUCGAAAGGGGUUUCGACCUGCUCCCGCAGCCCCGGGCCCCUUUCUGGAAAGGGAGGAGCUCAACGAUUUGCAGGAGUUUUCUCACUGAAACGGCACAGUGAAGUUACCCCGACACACAGGUGCUCCCUCUCGCACCCGGAGGAAAGGCCUGUGUGACCUGUACCCGGCACAGUCGCUCCCACGGCUAACAGCCGGAGCUGCGCAGGUAUCUGCACCACAUCAGAGCCCGUCUGGGGACCUAAAGAGCCCAGAGCGUCCAGAGCGAAGGCUGGGCACAGACCCUUGCUACGGCUGUCCCAGAAGAAGCAGAAAGUGGCUGUAUUUUCAAGCAACAUCCACCACUCUGGAAAGGACCAUUCUGGCACUGACUCACUUCGCCUGGGCUGGUGACAGGAGGGAGACGUUGCCUUCGCGGUGGGGAACCAGAGGGACUCCAGGAACAUCUGUUGCAUUUCGAGUCCCAGAUGAUAACAACAUAAUGUGCUGAUGUGAUUUCAUCCUGCGAAACUGCAAUCAGCUUACACAAAAAUUCAGGUAGAUCAGUCUGUACUUUUACUUCUUCCCUUUGUUUGGCCCUAAGCCUGACAAAUUAUCUCUAAGUCACCCAAAAUGGAACUUUACUUCCUCUGCCUGCAGGUUUAUGGGGGCCCUUUAUGGGUGUUUUUAGCUUAAGUUACAAAAGUGUAUACCACAACCACAAACAAAACUGUGAUGAUCUUAUUACUUGUAUUAUUUCUCAUGGAGAAUAUUUUAUAUGGUGAAGGAACAGCUCUGAUCUGUGGCUCACAUGAACUGUGUGCUAUUCUGUCAGCCCAAACCGGACCAACAGAGUAUUUACACUGAACCCUCUCCUCACCCUUCACUCAAAAACCUGUACAAAAGCAGCUGGCAGUAAUUCAUACCUGUGUUUCACCAGAAGUCCAAAAGUAAAAGUUCAGAGAGACUAUUUCCCACUGCAGCACCGUGCCUCAGUUUCUCUGUCUUUAAAGGCAGGACAGUGAAACUGCCUUUCUUCCCAGUGGUGACCUUUGAAGAGCUGGUGAUGAAGGAGAGAUAUGGGUUUCCCAGGAGGGGAGCAGCAAGAAGCCAAGGGGUCAGAAGCUGGUGCCUUGCAGCUGCGGGAUGUCUCUUCUGUAGGAAGCUGUUUAUGUCUAGGAAAGCACUGGGUAUUUUCAUGAUCGUCACCUCCAAAACCUUAGGGGAUACCUCCAGAGAAAGUUAAAAAGAAAAAAAAGAAUCCAAAAAACCUUGAAGGAAAAGUCCACAGGGAAGUUUGUAAGCUGGACGUGGAAACCCUCAGUGAGAGGUGGACAGCAGGCAGGUGCAGAAGUAAUGGAGAUCUUCCCACCUGUCAAGUCAUGGGCAAAAGGAAACUCAGCUGCAGCUGCCUGAAAACCUUGGGCAUCCUGAAGUUCAUCUUCCAUUCAGUUCCCAUGGUGAGGGAGAUGUUCACAUGGCCCAACCCUGGCCAGAUACUGGAGAUGGCCAGGUCAAGGGAUUGGUCUCCAGAGGCUUCCUAGAGAUUCUCUGAAAGAGUUGAGGAUCCCAAAAUAUUGAUUCAGAUCUUGGGGAGCCACCUUCUCAUGGGGCUUGUUUUUUCUAACUAAAUAUAGCAGCCCCCUAAGGACAUUACCCCAUAAACCAGAUGAAUCUCUUUAAAGUCAAACCACAGUGUAUUUGGUAGCCUUGAGUUAACAUUCAAGUGUUGUCUUUUAUUAUUUUCUCAAGAUUUUUUUCUUUGUCUUCUGAAAAAUGUUGUAAGAAGCUUGAAACUCAGAUUUCAAACAGCUAUAUUUCUUAUCUGCUGUCUUUUCACAACACUAUCAUGCCAUUGUCAGAAAUUUACAAUAACAUCUUGAGGAAACUUGAGAUCUUAUUGCUGGAUUCUGUUGAUUCUGUGUAACUAUAUUAAAACCUUAGAAAUUAUCUUGGUACACUGACAGGUUUUUUUUUCCCCCCCUUUAAAAGCUUGAGAAAGAAUAAAGUGAACAUUGGACUGACUAUUUUCUCUUUCUAUUGUUUAAGAAAGUGAGUGACCUUUCUUUGAAAAGAAAGAUCUAAAAAUGGCAUUCGUUGCUUGUGGCAGCACUGGUGUUUGAAACGCAGACUCUAACCCAAUCAGUUACUCAAAUGUGGGAGUAAGCUAUUUCUAUUGAACAGCAAGAUGGAUUAAAGACAGUGGCAUUAAGGGGAGACAGAGAGUAAUGCAGAAGCGUCACUGUUUCUUGAAUGCAAUUUUAAGUAAAUGACAUUAAAUGCUAAUAUUCAUGAAAAUAAAUCUCUGUUCGGCUUGAGCAGUGUUUCCCCAAUGCUUAGUAUUUGCAACCCAAUAAGAAUGAGAGAGAUCCUGAAUUUUCAUUUCUUUCUUUUAUCUUUCACCAAAAAUUUUUCUUUAAAAAAUAAGUCAAUAUUUGCAUUAAAGACUUUUUCAUGAAGCAAA